rnacentral:rRNA from 2 species
AGCAUAGCGAUUUGGGAUAAGUCCCUUGGAAAAGGGCAGCAUGGAGGGUGAUACUCCCGUCUCUGCUCGGAUUGUCUGUGUGUACGAUACGCUUUCUUUGAGUCGAGUUGUUUGGGAAUACAGCUCAAAGUAGGUGGUAAAUUCCAUCUAAAGCUAAAUAUUGGUGCGAGACCGAUAGCGAACAAGUACUGUGAGGGAAAGAUGAAAAGAACUUUGAAAAGAGAGUUAAAGAGUACCUGAAACUGUUGAAAGGGAACCGUAUCGUUUCCAGUGUUUUAUCCUGUGCAUAUUUCAUUAGCGGAGCAAUUUGCUGGUGCCCUGUGCAUGGGUGUGACGUCAGAGUCAGUUUGUAUGCUGCGGGAGAUGGUCAGUGAGGAGGUGCGUCACUUCGGUGAAAGUUAUAUCUCGCUGUCUAGUAGCCGUGGUUGAGACUGAGGUGCC